GUAAAUCGAAGAGGUUGCAACCAACAUGAGUCAGUUAGCUGAGUUCCCAUUGCGAACGAGGAAGUUAACCAAAAGGGGCGGUUGCCGAAGCGCUGGCGAGGAUGGUCGUCAGUUCGCUGGGACGUGGUUUAAGAGACCGCGGACUGUCGCGAAGGCUACCUUCGCGGGGCGCUAUCGACAAAA
rnacentral:ncRNA from 2 species